rnacentral:lncRNA from 1 species
AAAGUUCUGUUCAGAAGUUGUCUUUAUAGUCAAUUCAGGAUAAAAUACUUUUCUCCUAUUUAGAUGAUGUCUGUUGGCAGAAACUUUCUGUUAGAAACUUUACCUAAAAAUCUUAAGUCUUUAAAAUCUGGCUCUGCUUUAACAUGCAAGGUAUUUCUACAUUUUGUUGUACAUUUACACACCACUGGUUCCAUUGUGCGUCAAGAUCGCAUCUCUCUGGCAAAUGAAUAUAAAAAUAAUUCUAUAAAUAAACAUUAGCACCCCUCCCUUACAAAUAACUACUCACAAUUCUGGAACUAAAAAGUGUUCAUCUAGCCACAUCCAUAGGUUUCCUUGGAAUGUAACAUAUAGUCCAAUCCAACCAAAAUGUCCAGGUUUUAAACGGUUCUGUAUGAACUCCUGCAGAAGAAAUAGUGUAUUUAUUCAUUCAUUUGUUUAAAAACAUUUUGGUGCCUUCUAUAGUGUAAGUCUCUGUGCCGGCAUUAAUAAAAUACAUUUUCUCAUAUACAUUAGCAUUUUUUUCGUGAACAAUAGUGACUACAUUGUGGCUAACACAUGUUCAGAAGCAACGACAAUAAACCUCCCAUGCCUCUUAGGCAGUGAACUUGCACCUAGCCAUUUUUCCUUGUG